rnacentral:lncRNA from 1 species
GUGAUCUUCCCGUCUCAAAGUUUUUCUUGAACACUGUCAAGGGUGAUUCCUGGCAACGUGAAGUGGGAUGGGUGUGUACUGGUUAAGUUGUGUUUCUUCCGAAAUACCAUAAACGGAACUAGUCCCUCGUGACUACGGAAAUCCGUUGGCUGUGGGUAUUUUAGUACAAACUCUGCAGAGUCAACUCCCCAUUACAACAUCCUACCCAUGACCCUGUUCCGGGUCCUCUUUAUCUUGUCAAUUGUUAGUCUUGAUGGCAAGAACCCCGGUAAGCUAAAGGAGUGUUAAGUUUGGUUAAUGUGUGUGCUUGUGAAGGACUAACCGUUAACCAUCUUGUGUGGAAUAUUUUUUCUGUGUACAUUAACCCUCACACGUUAUGACAAUGAACUAUAAGCCCUUUACGUGACGUCGCUCAGACGUCCGACUGCGGCAUUGUUAUUAUCUAUUUUGUUAUAAGCCCUUUAUGUGACGUCGCUCAGACGUCCGACUGCGGCAUUGUUAUUAUUUAUUUUGUUAUAAGCCCUUUAUGUGACGUCGCUCAAACGUCCGACUGCGGCAUUGUUAUUAUUUAUUUUGUUAUGAGCCCUUUAUGUGACGUCGCUUAGAUGUCCGACUGCGGCAUUGUUAUUAUUUAUUUUGUUAUGAGCCCUUUAUGUGACGUCGCUCAGACGUCCGACUGCAGCAUUGUUAUUAUUUAUUUUGUUAUGAACCCUUUAUGUGACGUCGCUCAGACGUCCGACUGCGGCAUUGUUAUUAUUUAUUUUGUUAUGAGCCCUUUAUGUGACGUCGCUCAGACGUCCGACUGCGGCAUUGUUAUUAUUUAUUUUGCUCUAAGCCCUUUAUGUGGUGUCGCCUAGACGCCCGACUGCAGCGUGUUUUAUUUAUUUAUCCUCCUUUCGAGGCGUCGCUUCAGACACCCGAUUGGGUUUACGAUUAUUUCUUUGGGUUUUUGAGCGGACUACCGCCGACUCCCAUUUUACCUGUCUUGUCUUUAUGAAUUAAAUGUGCCAUUGCUAAAAUACUCAUGACGCAUUCAUGCAUGCAUUUGUUAUAUCUUUGUCCAAACUGUCUUGCGAGUACUUUCAAAGUACUCACCUGGCUUGUUGAUUUGGCCAGAUGCUGACGAAGGCGAUCUCAUGGAUGAGGAGUUCGAUAGCGAGUCCGACGCUUAGAGGAGUCCCAGUCAGUCUCGUGCGACCCUGGUCUUGGUCACUGUUUAUAACCGCUUCCGCUACCUAAAUAAAAAUUCAUUGAGCCUCACCUCGAUGCUCGAUGAGCCACCAGUGUAGUAGUAUUGCUACCCACUCCACUGUGUUACUCCACCCAACCACUUUUAUCUCGAGUCAGUAGUAUUGCCACCCCACCAUUGUGCCAUAUCCGCCAUAUGUAUAAUUAUUGGUGUGCUUGUAAUAAUUGUUGAGCGACUCCAGCUCAACCCCGUGUAAUAUAUUAAUGCUACUGGCUUAUUGUAUCAAAGUUUUGUCUACCAGUGAGGAGGAUUUUCCUCACACUGGACAUCAAAAGAUCGGUCUUUCAAUAAAUAUUUUUAUUGAAAAACCGGUCUGACAAGCUUGGUACCAGAGCCAGGCUGACUGUAGGAAGCCACUAGGUGCGAUCGCUAAUCGGAUAUUAGCAAAAAUAGAGCUAUUUAUUAUUUUUGCAAAUGUAGUCAUUUUCUGACAGUCAGCAUAAAUUUAUGAUCUGACCACUCAGAAUUUUUGCCUACUUUUGUAGAUGGCCGACAGCAACUGCGAGUCUCAGAUGUUCGCCAACGAGCCCGAUGGGUUCGUCAAGCUCCUCACCUUCAUCGUUCAGGUGGCGAUGGGGCCAUCCGUGCGCCCCGUCUUCUCACUCUAUCAACACAAAGUCAAUGACGGUCUAACCAUGCACCAGGCUGCGGUGCAAAUUCAAGGGAGGGCGUCUUGAGCUACGUCGCUUCCGGUACUUGGGGAGAGCCAUGCCUACUGAGAGGCAUGCUAUGCAGAUGGCAGCCCGUGAGGCGAUAGCUCGUCUCAGGGAAGACCUUCCGUCAAUGAAGAAUCAUCGUUACCGCUACCUUCCAUGUCACGUGCCAUACGCCUAUCACUACUCAUACUCUUGCCCCAGAGGAGAGCGAGAUGAGGCUUUUGAGAUGCUCGUCGGGUAUCUCCGAGCUCUGGAGGCAGCCUUCGACAGCCUGGUGGACAACCUCGUGGCUGCCCGCAUGGACUCAGUCCAUGGCUGUGCCGCCAACAGGAGGGAGCUUCUGCACACCGCACCACCACUGACGUUUGUCUCAUCCUCAGCAUCUUAUGCACCGGCCACUCGCGCCAUUCCUCGUCGCCUGCCUUUCACCGAGGAAUUCAACCAAGCCAUUGCACCCACUCCAGUCUGCCCUGCGCCACCCACUGCGCCCACACCUGUACGUGUUGCUCCAUAUAGGGCACCCGUUCCAUCUACUCAGCGCAACACUAACCGUCUGGAGCCUAUUAGCGAGGAGGAAGUCGAGUCCCCACCCUCACUGCGUCUCACCCUCAGCAGGGCAAAGGAGGUCCUCAACAUUUCCUCCGACUAAGUGCGUUUAAUCACCAUGCGAUGUACCGACUUGUAUGAUAUGUACAUAGGUUGUGAGUAGUAGCCUGUUUGCGCAUCAUGUAGGAGCUGGAGAAGUGCACUAGCCUAAAUAACAUGUCAGGAAUAUGUACGCAUAUCCUGAGUGAUGUAUUGUAUAAUUACCGCCUGCAUGUAAGAUAUGUAUGAGCAGUCCUUCUCCGUGCGCAAACAAUGUCUAUUUCAAAAAAAAAAAUCCCGGAGUGUCCUUUUGGUUUUGUUUGUCCUUGUGCAUUUAUUUUUACGACUCAGUUUCUUUUCUUAUGAGUUUUGCAAAAUGUAUCCCCAGAGUGAAAAAUGUCUCGUCCUUGGACGCGCUCCAUGCCAGCUCCGCCAGAGGAAAAUUAUGAUGCACAACACAGCAACAAUUUCACACAGGGACAGUCGAGCCAACAGGGCAGUGAAUCGGCACUUUCACAAAUGUGCCGCCUUUAUGAGCAGAGUCAGCAACAACAUCAGGAAUUAAUGAAUCAGGUCAUCACUAUGGGAAAUCGCCCCGGACAAUUUCAGCAGCAAUCCAAGUUGUCUGAGCCACAGAAGACGCGUCCCCAAACAUUUUCUCAUACUGACAAACCUCUUGAGGCCGAAGACUGGCUUCGAGACAUGGAGAGAAAAUUAAUUAUUGCCAAGUGUUCAGACCAGGAAAAAGUGCUAUAUGCACCCCACUAUCUGACAGGAGCAGCUGCAUCAUGGUGGGAGAAUUUCCUACACAUGCACCCCAACGAGAAUAAUAUAACUUGGGACGAUUUUAAGGAAGGUUUUCGUGGGACGCAUAUUCCUAAAAGCCUUAUGAAAAUCAAGAAGAGAGAAUUCGAUGAUCUCAAGCAAAGGACCAUGACAGUGUCAGAAUACAACGGACAAUUUACACUGUUAUCUCGCUACGCCAAUGAGGAGCGUAUGACUGAAAGUAAGAAGAUGGAGAAAUUCUUGGACGGCCAGGCGCCUGCGCUUAAAUGCCAACUGGUCGUACACACUUUUCCAGAUUUCAAGACACUAGUGGAUAAGGCCAUUACCUUGGAAAAUGAGAGGCGCAGCCUGGAAGAUUUCCGUAAGCGAAAAAGGGACCAGAAAAAUCAUGCUCGCAAUCCCCGAAGCAAGGCGGAUUUUCAGAAAGGUGAUACACACAAAACCCCGAUAAAUGUCUCACGACCAGUCAAGAAUUUCCAUGCCAGAGAUAAAGAGUUCACAUAUCGCCUAGGCAGGACCUGCUACGCUUGUGGGGAAGAAGGGCACUAUGCCAAACAGUGCCCCAAGCCAAGGAACUCGACCCCGAAGCCAAACAAUGGUGGCAAUAAUUCAUCGCCCAAGCGCAACAAUUUCAACCCCAACAACAAUCACAGGAAGGGUCACCUGAACCACGUGACCAGAGAGGAAGCACAGAAUGCCCCAGAUAUCGUACUCAGUACGUUUCUUGUCAACACAAUACCUGCCAUGGUUUUGUUUGAUUCUGGAGCUUCUCACUCGUUCGUUUCGAAAAGUUUUGCUUUGCAAAAUAAUUUUUCGAUUCUUCCCUUGGAAAAAUCAAUGAUCGUCAAGUCCCCUGGGAUUAAGCAAGUCACCCAGAGUUACUGCCAAGGUGUGACAAUUGAGUUUGAAGGAUUGGAAUUUCACGCCAACCUUAUUGUAUUAGAAAAUAAAGGGCUGGACGUCAUCUUAGGGAUGGAUUGGUUAACCACCAACAAAGGCUUUAUUGACUGCUUCAACAGGACCGUGAUCCUCACCCAUCACCACGGGAAGACAAUAAAAGUUUCGGCCAAGGAGAGGAAAAUAUCCCGGCAACCGAGAUUAAAUAAGGUGGAUAUUUCUGAAUUAAGCAAGGUUCCAGUGGUAUGUGAAUUUCCAGACGUAUUUCCUGAAGAGCUGCCAGGUAUGCCACCAGACCGAGAAAUAGAAUUCAGCAUUGAGCUAGCACCAGGAACCGCUCCCAUAUACAAGAAACCAUACAGAAUGGCACCAUCCGAAUUGGUAGAAUUGAAGAAACAAAUAAAGGAAUUAUUGGACAAAGGGUAUAUACGAGCCAACUCCUCACCUUGGGGUUCACCAAUAUUGUUUGCCAAAAAGAAGGAUGGCAUACUGAGAUUGUGUAUCGAUUAUCGAGCACUUAACAUGGUCACAAUCAAGAACAAGUAUCCAAUGCCACGAAUAAAUGAUUUAUUUGAUCAGCUCGCUCAGGCCAAGGUAUUCUCAAAGAUUGACUUGAGGUCAGGGUACCAUCAAUUAAAAGUACGGACAGAAGAUAUUCCCAAGACAGCCUUCACCUCCAGAUAUGGACUAUAUGAGUUCACAGUAAUGCCAUUUGGGCUAACGAACGCCCCCGCAUAUUUUGUUCACCUCAUGAACAAAGUAUUUAUGAAGUACAUGGACAAGUUUGUUGUGGUAUUCAUCGACGACAUUCUGAUAUACUCCAAGACGCCCGAAGAGCAUGCUGAACAUCUCCGAAUUGUGCUAGGAGAACUUAGGAAGCAUCAGUUAUACGCCAAAUUCAGUAACUGUGAAUUUUGGCUAAGGCAAGUAGGUUUUCUGGGCCAUGUACUAACCCAAGAAGGUAUUGCUGUAGACCCAGAAAAAGUCAAGGCCGUACUUGGCUGGAAAACACCAGCCAGCGUAACGGACGUACGAAGUUUUCUAGGAAUGGCAGGGUACUACCGAAGAUUUAUUGAAGGAUUUUCCAUGAUAGCAAAGCCAAUGACACAACUUCUCAAGAAGGACAAGAAGUUUGAAUGGACGGAGGCUUGUGAGAAAAGUUUCCAAGAACUAAAGAGGAAACUAACGACAGCACCAGUAUUAACUGUGCCAGACAUACACAAGAAUUUUGAGGUAUAUUGUGACGCAUCUCGAAAGGGCCUCGGGUGCGUAUUAAUGCAGGAAGGCAAGGUUGUCGCUUAUGUUUCCAGACAGCUUCACAAGCAUGAGGAAAAUUAUCCUACUCAUGACCUAGAGUUAGCUGUAGUUAUCCAUGCACUCAAGGAAUGGAGACACUUCUUACUUGGAAAUCGUUGUGAAAUAUGCACGGACCAUAAGAGCCUCAAGUAUAUUUUCACCCAACCAGAACUCAAUUUACGGCAACGACGCUGGUUGGAAUUGGUAAAGGAUUAUGAUGUUGGAAUCCACUACCACCCAGGCAAGGCUAAUGUUGUAGCAGAUGCUCUAAGUCGGAACCCCAGUCCAAACAACGACAACAUGACAAACUUGAGACCUGAGUUUCGGCAGGAAUUUGCUAAGCUCAACUUAAUGAUGGUCACCGAAGGCAGUGUGUCAAACUUAGAGAUACAACCUACCCUGAUGGAAAAAGUUAAAGAGGCUCAGCAUGGUCACCCUAGCAUUGAAGGCAUAAAACGGAAGAUGAAAUUGGGCAAGGCCCCAGAAUUCAUUGUCGAUGAGCAAGGAAUAUUGAGGUACGAGAAUAGACUUUGCGUACCAAAUAUUCAUGACCUUAAACAGCAGAUCUUGGCUGAAGGCCACACCGCCCCGUAUUCAAUUCACCCUGGAGGAACAAAAAUGUACAAAGACCUUCAGGAAACAUUUUGGUGGCAUGGUAUAAAGAGGGACAUAGCCAUGUUUAUUGCGUGUUGUGACUCAUGUCAGCACAUAAAGGCCGAGCACCAGAAACCGGCCGGACUAUUGCAACCAAAUAAGAUACCCGAGUGGAAAUGGGACGAGAUCGGGAUGGAUUUCAUUGUUGGGCUACCUAGGUCACAACAUGGGCAUGAUGCCAUAUGGGUCAUCACGGAUAGAUUGACUAAAGUAGCGCACUUCAUUCCCGUAAAAACAACUCACACCACUCAGAAGCUCGCCAGGCUUUAUCUUUCCCGUAUUGUCUGUCUACAUGGAGUUCCUAAGACCAUAAUAUCUGACAGAGGCACACAAUUCGUCUCCAGAUUUUGGGAUCACCUGCAACAGGCCCUGGGGACCCAACUAGCUUUCAGCACCGCAUACCAUCCACAGACCGAUGGACAAACUGAGCGCGUAAAUCAAAUUUUGGAAGACAUGCUGAGGGCAUGUGUCCUCACUUAUGGAGCCAGUUGGGAGGAAAGCCUACCAUACGCCGAGUUUGCAUACAACAACAGUUACCAGACCAACCUGCAAAUGGCACCCUUUGAAGCCUUGUACGGGCGAAGAUGCCAUACCCCACUAAAUUGGUCAGAGACCGGAGACAGCCGUAUCUUCGGCCCAGACAUGCUCAAGGAAGCCGAGGAAAAGGUCAAGCUAAUCAGGGACCGACUUAAGACGGCUCAAAGCCGACAGAAAAGUUAUUACGAUCAGAAACAUCGUGAAGUCAAUUUUCAACCCAGUGAGUUUGUGUACCUACGAGUAUCUCCUAUGAGGGGACUACAACGGUUUAAGAUUAAGGGGAAGUUAGCACCAAGAUUCAUUGGACCAUUCUGCAUAGUGGCACGAAGAGGCACGGUAGCCUACCAGUUAGACUUGCCCGAAGAAUUGUCCAACAUCCACGACGUGUUCCACGUCUCCCAAUUAAUAAAGUGCGUGAGCAACCCAGAGAAGCAAGUAUCCCAUGAGAACAUCGACGUACAACCAGACCUCACCUAUCGGGAACACCCAGUGAAAAUAUUGGAAGAAUCUGAAAGGAGAACCAGACAGAAAACCAUCAAAUUUUUCAGAGUUUAGUGGAGCAAUCACACCGAGAGUGAAGCCACUUGGGAAAGAGAGGAUUUUCUUCGGAUAGAGCACCCACACCUGUUUAAGGAUCAGCUGAAAUCUCGGGGAUGAGAUUUUUCCUAAGGGGGUAGGUGCUGUGACACUCCAAAAUUUUUAUGGUUUUAUUUUCAAAAAAAAGAGCCUUGCUGGUUUGAAGAAGGUCAUUUAUUUUAUUUUAAAAAAAACCCUCUUCUAAGUCUACUCUCUAAAAACUCUUUCUGGAUUGAGUUUUCUUCUAAAAAGAAAACCUUUUGGUUUUGGGAUUUUUAUUUGGUUUGAUCCAUUUCUGUUUUGCCAUGCCACUUAUGGUAAAACUCCUCUCAAAACCCCUCCUUCCUCUUGGAUACAACCUAAACAUUCUAUCCAAACCAAUAAAAUCCAUUUCUGGAUUUUAUUCCAAUUAUUUUCUCUUUCCAAAUAAUUAUGUCUUUUCUUUUGAGCCUAAGUAAUUUGCAAAGCAAGUACCCAAAGGCUUUUGAUUUUUGGCCUCAACUCAGCACCCUUGCAUAGUCCUUUGUACCCACAACCCAGAACCAUCUUGAUCCACUCUUCUUCUUUUCAAAUAUUUCAAAUUUCACUCACUGCAAGUUUGGACCAGAUUUGCCAAAUUUGGUGAAAUUCAUAUCUACACUUCUCCAAAAAUUCCACCAAAAUUCAGGCAACCUCUAGUUGCAAUGAGAGACCACUCUACCAAAAAUCAGCUCAAGGAAAAAUCCCUAGAGGCCAGAAUCAUUCUGUCGAACACCUUGCACGCACUGUUCUGUUCAUCUUCAGUUAAAUUCAGAAUUUGCAGUGUCGAGCGUCGUCAGAGAUUCAGUCACAUGCUCACAGUGCACUUGGCACGUUGCUCAUGGCCUAACUUGCUUGUCUGGAGCCUCACACGCGCACUUGGCGCGUUCCUAGCGUCGGUGGCACCUUGGCCCGCCUACGCCGGUGUGUCUUGCGGCGGCCGAAUCACCGUAGCGGACAACAGCGAGCAGAACAGCGGCGCAACGCUGUUCAGCGCCACCCAAACUCUCUGGUGGCUCCGCGUGGCCAUAUCCUUGCCAGCGCACGCAUGUGGCACCGUCGCCGUGGCGCGGCACGCACAGAGCAUGCUCUCUGCCGCCGACGGGCCCGCGCCGCCCCGUCCCGUCGAGCCCAGCCUAAGCUUCGAGCCCCGGCUCGUUUAACGCCUAAACGGAACCCGUGAACCUCCAUGACGGCGAUAAGCUCCUAAAACUCCCCGACCGAUGCCCUGCGCCACCGUAAGCUUCGCCGGAGAACCCCGUUCUCAGCCACCGCCUCGGACCGCCUAUAAAAAGGGCUCACGAGCUCGCCCUCGAGCACACACCAUCUCUGCACCACACCAGCACCCCACCAGGCCACCAGGAGGACCUCGAGGACGUAUCCUCCCCCAACUCUGGCCGCCCCGUUCCGCCUCGGCCUCCACCUUGAUUCACUCCGGUGAGGCCGUCUCCGGUGCCCAAACCCCGUCAGCUACCCCCUCUAGCUACCAGAGGUCUAACCCCCUCCUCAAUUUACCCUCCACAGCACUCUCCGACGAGAUCCACAACCACCCGAACCGCCGUCCGCCGGAGCAAGGGCCGCCGUCGACACGGAGCUCGCCGGCGGCCACUUCCACCUCCCACAGAUGCGGAAGAACGUGCUGAUCACGAAGGUACCGUCCGAUCACUCUACCUCGCCGUGGAUCUCCGCCGGCGACCACCGCACCUCUCGGGCGCCGUCGGGCUCUGUUUCUCUCGUUUUGGAUUUUCAAACCCGACAGGUGGAGCCCACCCGCCAGCCUCUCAGUCCUUCUAAACGAAUCAUUUUCUGAAGGCGUCUUCUGUCAAAGUACGUCUCCCCUCUGGGCCGGCGUAUUUUCAGUCGAACCGUUUUCUGUUUUUAUAAGUGAGCCCCUGGAAACUUUCUGUUUCAUUACAGAUGGGCCCUUGGGCUAAAACCCUUAUAACUUUUUAUCAGAAAGGAACUUUUGAGUGAUUCUUUUUCUGUCCUCUUCAUAUUUUUGUCUAGUUUUUUAUCAUAUUUAUUUGAAAAAAAUUUGGAUCAACUUUCUGUACCCCACGGUAUUUACGAUAGCGCGUGUAUUUUUUGUGUACCGUAGAUACCGAAGGUGGUGACGGAGACGCGAACUUCGCCGAACUAGGACCCAUCUACUCCGAGCCAGGCAAGCAUGUUUGAACUUUUGAUAUGAUGAGUGUCUUGGCAUGUUUGCAUUGAAUAGUUUCAUGUCAUGUUCAUAAGCAUCCCGAUAAAUUUUGUUUCAUGAAAAGCUGAGUCAAGUGAGUUACAGAAAUCCAUGAGUUCAUGGAAAUGAGGUUGCAUGGCCACGUGGUGGCAUGAAGAUGGCUAAGAUGGUAGUGUUGUAGCAUGCCAGUCUUAUGCCAGUAUGUUUGUUGACUCCGGUAUCAACUCCCGUUCAUUUCCCUUUCCAUACUGCCACAUGUUUCCCGCAAGGGAUAUGGCUUAGUAAGAUGUAAACCACUUCCCGGUGCACACCAAAUGGAGAGGCCGGGAUGAAGGUUCCAUGGCCCUGGAUUAAAGCCUUUCAUCCGGUCAGGGGGCGUGGGUGUUUCCGGUUGGGACCGAGAGGGGGGCACCCCUUAGAGCGCGCGUAUAUAAAUUUGAUCCCAUGCUAUUCGAGAUUGUGAUCUCCCCGUCUCAAAGUUUUUCUUGAACGCUGUCAAGGGUGAUUCCUGGCAACAUGAAGUGGGAUGGGUGUGUACUGGUUAAGUUGUGUUUCUUCCGAAAUACCAUAAACGGAACUAGUCCCUCGUGACUACGGAAAUCCGUUGGCUGUGGGUAUUUUAGUACAAACUCUGCAGAGUCAACUCCCCAUUACAACAUCCUACCCAGGACCCUGUUUCGGGUCCUCUUUAUCUUGUCAAUUGUCAGUCUUGAUGGCAAGAACCCCGGUAAGCUAAAGGAGUGUUAAGUUUGGUUAAUGUGUGUGCUUGUGAAGGACUAACCGUUAACCAUCUUGUGUGGAAUAUUUUUUCUGUGUACAUUAACCCUCACAUGUUAUGACAAUGAACUAUAAGCCCUUUACGUGACGUCGCUCAGACGUCCGACUGCGGCAUUGUUAUUAUUUAUUUUGUUAUAAGCCCUUUAUGUGACGUCGCUCAGACGUCCGACUGCGGCAUUGUUAUUAUUUAUUUUGUUAUAAGCCCUUUAUGUGAUGUCGCUCAGACGUCCGACUGCGGCAUUGUUAUUAUUUAUUUUGUUAUGAGCCCUUUAUGUGAUGUCGCUCAGACGUCCGACUGCGGCAUUGUUAUUAUUUAUUUUGUUAUGAGCCCUUUAUGUGACGUCGC